rnacentral:ncRNA from 2 species
AUAUUAUCAAGAGUGAGCUGAGGGAAUUGGCCCGAUGAAGCUCCAGCAACCUGCCAUAUGGUAAGGUGCUAAAUCCAACCCACGCGGGCAGAUAAUCU